AAUGUCCUAACCUUACCUGAACAAUAUAAAGUGGAAUCACGGGACAGUGACACCGUUUUUCCCCAAAAUUGGAAUUAAUAAUGUGCUUCUUACGUGUGCGUCAGGUAUUCGUCAAUGGAUCAAAUCUUAUUACGCUUUCCCCUAAAAUUAACAUGUGAUUCGGAACACUGGUGGGGGAUUUGCCUCUACAUACAUAGUUAAAGCUUUCAAUAUGUAUAUAGGAACCUGCGUAUACACAUAUACAAUUCAAUGCUUACACUAGCGCUUCUAUCGGUGGCGUCAUGAAAUUACUGUUGGCUGCAUGCGUUCCUGUUGAAAAAAUUCCUCACGGGCGAAAGUCAAGGAGGGGCUUUGUGAGACAACCCGCGCGAAACUCUUUUCAACGUAGGGAGAAUGGUAGCUUCCUGGUAGACAUGUUUCUCGGAUAAUUCGAGGCUUGCAUGCGGGAUGUGAGCACAAACCACGUGCUUAUUAAAAAUUAAUACGUGCACAUUAAGAAGACGACAUCAGAAACGAUUGAGUUGUUUGAAGAUAUUUCAGAAUUUUUUUCUUUGCACUAAAGAUCUCUUCAUAAAUACAUAAGAAAAACUAUAUUUCAUUCCCAUGUUUCGUUUUUAUGUUUUCAUUCAUGCUUUAAUUAAUGAUAAUCUUCAAAUCUGUUCUGUACAAAACGUGCAUACUAGGUCAUGUUCUAUUUA